rnacentral:piRNA from 1 species
UGUCUAAAACUUACUGAUGGGUGCUGGGA